rnacentral:lncRNA from 1 species
AAAACUCCACCAACAAAGGCUAAUAGUGGGCCGGAUCAUGGGCCAGUUUCCACGGCCCAUGAACUAACUCCGAUUCAUAAGAUGGUAUCGGCGGGAUAAAUUUAGAGGAUCUCGGAGAGCGAGGGAGGGAAGGAAGACGGGUAGCGCCUCCUCCUCCCUCUGAUCUCGUCUCUCUCUCUCUCUGCCUUCCUUCUCAAUGUCGCUUCUUUUGGCCUCCCAAUAUCCGGCCAAUCGGUUGUCGACUUCGGUCGAUAACGAGAUGUUGUCACAGCGGCUCAGGAGUUCCGGCCACGCGGUCCUUCGUACCGUGAGCCCGGGGACCUGGGCGGUGGAGGGGAGCUCUAUUUUUGGGAGCAUAGCGCUCCCCCACCUCAGGAGGAAAGCGUCGAACAGUUGGUCGGCAGUCCAGGAGUCCUACGUCUCCACCAAGGUUCCUCCUAACUUCACCCCACCGCCUUUUUCUUUCUCCACCUUCUAGGGCUUAAUUUAUUAUAGUUUUGUUCAUUUGUCACGAUGCGUGUUCUUGUGUGCCAUCUUCGACUGCAAUUAUUUAUAUAUCAUGUAUUUAUAUUUUCAUACUGGAUUUGGUCGGCGUAUGCGGUGGUUGUUAGUCUUUUCAUCAUACUUUCUUAUUUUUCGUGAUGAUCGUGGGGUCCUUGUAGCUUUGUGAUGGAG